rnacentral:lncRNA from 1 species
UUAAAAUUUAUACACUUGUUUGUUUGUUUCUUUGACAGUCCACAACUAUAUCCGUGACAAGAUCUUACACCCUCUGCACAGAAGACGACAGAAUACAUAAUCACAACAAGAUCAAGCAAGCUCGGCACACAAGAGGCCAGAAUACAUCUUUGUUUUUACAAAAUGUUCCAUAUUGUUGAGUUCAUCGAGUCAUCUGAAGUGGAAGUUGUGCCAUCUUCAUGGGUACAGAAUGGUGCGUGUGCUUGGCCAUCUUACAAGUCUAUGGCUAAGAUUCAUAAGGCCGUCACACUGCAGGACUCUCCCAAUCAAUCUUGGGCAACCUUCAGGGUGCGAAUUAUUUACACCACAGACUCCUAUGAGGAAGCUCGUCUUAAACUUCCACAGGCAACUGUGAUGUCUGACUUGCAGACCGAUGAGGAUGAUGAUCGCCCAUCCUACACUAAAAGAAAGAACAGGUUGGGGACAUAAAAGACACAACUUUAGUGACAGUGAUGAGGAGAUUUUAUCUGGAAGAAAGAGACUGGGAAAAAAAGGCAGAAUGGAGGAUCUUACAGAAAUUGAUGACGCACCGCAUAUACCGUCACCACCAAUGACUACGGCAGAGUCCUUUAGAACACCAGCAAGAUGCACGGAUACUGCACAUCCCAGUACGCCAAGGAACAUUUACAGUCCUUGUUCCACUGCAGUGGGAAAUCAAGAAAGAACUGGCUGCAACUCGUCAUGUCUUUCAUUACUGACUGAAGUAAUAAAAGCACAAGAAGUCAUGAAGCAGCAACUGGACGUGAUUCUUAAAAAACUGCAUAAGCAAAAUAGUACUCUGCAGUGUGAAGACAUUCCCGAACCAAGCACAUUUGACCUGCCACUGUCCAAUUUACUUGAUUUGGAAAAGCUAGAAUGUCAGAUAAAGGAGCAGCCCGAACAAAUGAAGAAAUUGGUUGCCUACUUUGGAAUAAUUGGUGGGUUUUCCACCAAGGAAGCAGUAUGGCGCAUCCUUGGAAAGCUGUUAGCCAACUCCCUGGCUAAACAAAUUAACUGGAGUGGGGCUAACCAAAAAGUGGCCUUUCGUACACUCACCCUUAGGACUGUCGUUGUCAAUGCAGUGCGGACAAAUGGCCAUACGAAGAGUGCCACUGAUAAAGAGGUUGAAAAAUACAUAACAAGGUGGCUACAACUUGCUCCUGAUCGGGAUGGAGGAAGGAAAGAAAGACAGAAAACAAAUGUCUAAAUCUCAAUUAUUAUUAUUUUUUUUUAUUCUAAAGCAACAUUUUAAGUUUAUUAAGAUUCCCUGAUCCAUAGGCAAUUUCUUUAUUUUACUUUCAACUUGUGCAAUUUCAUUUAUUUUUACAUUGGUAUUAAGUUUUUGAGACUUUUAUAUGUGCAAUUUAAGAUUUUCUUUCUUUAAAUAUUCCAGUUUACUUAAUUUUGUUUACAGUGUUAAUUAUUGUGUAAUUUGUAGUGUGUGUAAUAAUUGUGUAAUU